CUUAGAGAGGAUUCCCGUGAAACUACAAUUCGGCCGUUCAUUGGGUCAUCUAGCUCGUGUUGGAAACAGUUAGCUGCCUAGUGAAGGGCAAUAUUGUGGUGGAAUAUCAUCGUGUCGGAUAUC
rnacentral:precursor_RNA from 11 species